ACUGAUAUGAAGAGCUUGCUCGGAUUUGAAGAUGAACAUUGCAAAGAGUGGCGAACGGGUGAGUAACACGUGGGAAACCUACCUCUUAGCGGGGGAUAACACUUGGAAACAAGUGCUAAUACCGCAUAAUACUGAUAACCGCAUGGUUAUCAGUUGAAAGAUGGUUCUGCUAUCACUAAGAGAUGGUCCCGCGGUGUAUUAGCUAGUUGGUAAGGUAAUGGCUUACCAAGGCAAUGAUACAUAGCCGAGUUGAGAGACUGAUCGGCCACAAUGGGACUGAGACACGGCCCAUACUCCUACGGGAGGCAGCAGUAGGGAAUCUUCCACAAUGGACGAAAGUCUGAUGGAGCAACGCCGCGUGUGUGAUGAAGGGUUUCGGCUCGUAAAACACUGUUGUAAGAGAAGAAUGACAUUGAGAGUAACUGUUCAGUGUGUGACGGUAUCUUACCAGAAAGGAACGGCUAAAUACGUGCCAGCAGCCGCGGUAAUACGUAUGUUCCAAGCGUUAUCCGGAUUUAUUGGGCGUAAAGCGAGCGCAGACGGUUGUUUAAGUCUGAAGUGAAAGCCCACAGCUUAACUGUGGAAGUGCUUUGGAAACUGGAUAACUUGAGUGCAGUAGAGGAGAGUGGAACUCCACUUGUAAUCCGGGGU
rnacentral:rRNA from 1 species